rnacentral:tRNA from 1 species
GGCUGAGUUCGAAGAUCGGCUGGCAAACCCGAUUCAUGUCGUUUGACUCUGGAUCAGGAGAUCGAAGGUUCGAAUCCUUCCUCGCCA